GGGGAUUUGAUAAAUCAGUGGUGUUUAAUUUAUCUGUUAGACAUGGUAAUCGAUGCAUCAUCCCUUUGGAGAACAUAUAGAUGUGCAAAGGUUAUCACCUUUACAUUCUCUGCUUGACCAAUGAUUACUUCAAUGAUGAAUGUCGCCGAGAUCUUGGGUUUUAAACUUUAAACUUUUGAUUCAGCCCCAGGAACAGGUCAGCCAAGAAUCGGAAGAACAGCCUUCGGUGAUCUGCAAUGGUAAAGAAUUCAUGAACGGGAGUUUAUUGAACAUGUCGCAUGGAGGAGAUAAUUUAUGCAUUGUCUGCGUGAACGGUUACUAUUUAGUCACUUGUUAUGCCAACACAAUCGCUUUCAAAUGCUAUUUCCCAGUAAUUAUGAAAUCCGAGUAAAGAGAUCUGGAGCACGUUGGACAUUCAAGAUUUGAAGAAAAGAAAAUCCCAAACAGGGAAAACAAAAGCAACUCUUGAACUGAACAUGGACAUCAUUUUUCACAUUCUUCAUCUUCUAGGAAUAAGAUGCAGUUGGUUGACCCUCCAAUGUAUGAAGAAAAGGAAGAGCAUGAUUGCCAAGCUUAGAUCUCUUAAGCUAAAUGGCUCCUCAUAUUUGAAGCUUUUGACACAGCUCACUGCAUCCAUUCAACUGCCUUUUGAACCCAGAAAGAAAUGUAAUUCUUCAGUUUGUUUGAAGUUUGUAUUUUAGUUUUAAUUCUUUUUCAAAUUGCGGAUAUGAGAAAAAAGAGGGAUAGGUUGGGGAGGAAUAUGAAUUGAGCAUUUGGAGAUUGUAUUUGAGUGUGAUGGCUUUUCUACUUUUUUUUUUCUUUUCUCCUUGAAUAUCUUGAGGACAAAAUUUAAUCUUGGUUUCAUGUGUAAAUUGUUACAAUGGGGUUAUAGGGACUUUUUAAUUGGGUUGGAGGGUUUUUAAGUAGAUAGCUUGAGAUUGACAAUGUUUUGAAUUUUAUGUUGCUGCGGCAACGAGUGAGACUUGGCAAGCAUGACGUGACAGAUUCAGAUUCAUUAGAGAGUGAAGGAGAAAAUCUGCAGCCCAUGACAUCUUUUCUUUCCAAAAAAGGUCCAGCUUUCAAAGAAAAGAAUACACAUUGGACAAAAGCAACUCUCUGUGCCUAGAUACCUUUAUAUCUUCCAUUUUUCAACCAAGUUCAUUUUGAAUUGUAUCAAAGGAUUUGCAGUGUAGGAACCUUUCUAGUUUUGAUUUUGUAUCCUCCUUUAAUUUGAAAACUUCUAAUCUUAUUGUUGUUGAAAAUGAAUUGAGAUCUUAAUAUUGAUGUAAGAUUUUUUCCCUUUUAUAAUCAUGGUAUGAAGGAUAAAAAAUUAAAAUUUUCAUUUUGUAAAAUUACUAAAAGAUAUGUUAAUGUUGAUCUCGUAAUCAUGGAUUGAAUGUACAUGCUGCACACUUCAAUAUUAAGUUACUAGUAAAUUGCAAACUUGGAUAGGUAUCUCAUAAAGUAGAGAUUUGAACAACAUAUUUUUCUGAAGGUAAGAUACAUAGAUUGAAAAGGCAUGGAUUUAUUAGGAAUUUUUGUUGCUUCAAGCUAAUAAAUGUAAUUAAUUAUGCUCUAUAAAAUUUCAUGGCAUUGGAGGAAUCAUUGUAGUUCUCCUCCACUGCUGCAACUUCUUUUAUAAUUAAAAAUCUCGUGACAUGUUCAGGAAAAUGAUAUAUAAAUUUAAAAUAUGUAUGAUGAAGUUUUAUGAAGGAUUAAUGCAGAUAAUUAUUAACUCAAGUGCUGAAGACAAUUUAUAAUCUGGUGCAAGAACUUUGAUAGUUAAGUGUUUGAGAUGGACAGAACUGAGAUAAUGGAUUUAUGUGAGACAAAUAUAUUUGAAGAUGAUGUGAUUGAUGAAGUGAUCAACUUUGGGAGAGAAGAAAGGUAUGGCCCUUUUCCAAAAGCUAAAUUUAAUUUUGGUAGAAGAAUAACUCUCGAAAGCUAAUAACAUUUUCACAUUUUUUAAAUAUUUUUUAAUAUAGAUGUUAGCAUUGCAUGUCAUGAUAUAAUGUCUCUUUCCUUCACACGCAUUAUGCAUUAUAAUAACAAUAUUAUGUGCAUUGAUUAAAGAACUGAGGGAAUAUCCUUCGGUAAGGGAAAGUAACUCCAAAAACAAGAUAAUCGAGAUGAUCCUCGAUAAGGGAAAGUGAUCAAAUUGAGAUGAUCCUUCGAUAAAAGAAUGUGAUCGGCAAAUUUUUGGAAAUGAACCUUUGGUAAGGGAAGGUGACUCCCAUCAAUUUGAUAAUAAUAUAUCUUUGUUGCCAUAACUUUCUUUUUGUGUAUGUCUAAAUAAUCUUGAUUGUAAAUUGAACUGAGUGAAUUAUUUUUCGGUAAAAAAAUAAGGUGACCUCCAUAGACAAGAUAUCGAUAUGAUCCUUCGGUAAGGGAAGGUGAUCGAUCGAGAUGAUCCUUCGGUAAGAGAAGGUGAUCGCCAAAACGUUUGGGAUAAGAACCUUCGGUAAGGAAAGGGGACUCCCACCUUUUAUACUAGUUUGAGCUCAAUACCUUUCAUAAAAAUUACGUAAAAAAAUAAUGAAAAGUACAAUA